rnacentral:lncRNA from 1 species
GCGAAUGAUGGCGGGCACCAGGAUGAAGGAAAUCAAGCGUGGUGAUGAUGGGUUAGUGUGAUGCGGAUGCUGGAUUUGAUGANGGGGAAUCUUUNUGUGUGAUCCGAGAGGAUGAAUAGCGUCAUGAAAUGGCUAUUUUGAUAAAGGUGAAGAUGGUGGAAUGGUGUUUUUUUGUUUUCCAGGUAAUGAACCAGAUGAAGAUGAUGAGUGAUGACGGCAGUGAGUGGUCNAGGAGAAUUGAAGAUGAUGCUGAGAGUGGGAAUGGGGUUGACUGGGUAAUNCGGUUUUUGGCCUCCUAGAAUGGUGGUGUGAAGAGGUGAAUUUGUUGGGGUGGUGCUCUGUUAAUGGCUCUGUUUUUUGUUUGAAUCCAGGGAAAGUAGGAGAAAAAUAUGAUAAGAAGAAUGUGAAUGGAGAUUUGAUUAAGAUGAAUAUGGUGGUCAAGUGUUGGUAGUAGCCGUGAGUGCUAUGGCGAUGGAUGAAUAUCAGUUGUGUGUACUCGAGGAAAAUGGUUUUUUUUUUGUUAAGUCCCAAAGGAAUGGAGAGUCAUGUGAGUGUGAGUCUAUUGGUGUGGUUACGGGUUGCCCCGAGCAGAGGGUGGAGAGAAAAAAGAUGUUUUCGUGUGCGUGAUGAUCCCCCGUUCUUGUGAAUUUCGAUUCCCUUUUCAUGAAUAGCCUUGGCGUGUUUUGUAACAAUGUUCACCCUCUGCCGAUUCACACCGCCACCCAAUUGUACUGCCAAAAUCGUCUUUUUGCUCUUCCCCCCAACCAGCACGUACCUUUCCCAGCCUUUCAACCUCUCUAUCCCCAAAAAUCGCUGCUGUCCUUUUUCCAGGCCAAACGAUAUUUCUUUCCUUUUUCACAAACGACAAACCAAGCCCAUUUUUUUCUUUUUCUUAAUUAUAUUAAUUAUGCUAAAACAAAAGCUAAAAAUAAAAAAUAAUAAUAAAA